UACAGAGGUCUCAAGCGUUGUUCGGAUUCAUUGGGCGUAAAGGGUGCGUAGGUGGCGCUGUAAGUCAGGUGUGAAAUUUCGGAGCUUAACUCCGAAACUGCAUUUGAUACUGCCGUGCUUGAGGACUGGAGAGGAGACUGGAAUUUACGGUGUAGCGGUGAAAUGCGUAGAUAUCGUAAGGAAGACCAGUGGCGAAGGCGGGUCUCUGGGACGGUACUGACGCUGAGACGCGAAAGCGUGGGGAGCGAACAGG
rnacentral:rRNA from 1 species